GGCGGGGCUGGCUGUUUGAGAACUGCGCGCGGAGCUUCCUGGCCGGUGUCUGAAGUCGUCAGUUUACUGCUUGUAACGAACAUAGCGAUCACUAGGAACCUGGAAGUAGAGACUCCUUUCUGCCGUCUCUCCGUCCCUCGGGCUGCUGCGAAUCUCCCCCCACGCCGGUCGCCGGGACCCCGGCCUGGCUGAACGCCCGCACGGGUCCCGCCACCCCAGGGCCCGCUACGCGCCCGGCAUAAUGGGAGAAAAAUCACGACGGAAAGGCCCAGCCCCUCGCCAUGCAGACGGGAAGCUUGGCCGCACGUGUGAUCACCCUUACGCCCCUUGGGGCUUCACCCCCGCUUCGCGGGCUCCAACAGCCUGGGUCGGGGCCUCCUUGUCCUGUUUGGGCCUCUUGGCGGUAAGAACACAGUCCCGAGCCCCAGCGAGCUGGCGGGCCUCCCACCCGCCGUGCACAGGCUGCACUUCUGCGCCCCAGCACUGCGCCUGCGGGACCACCUGGGUCACUUUUCCAUUCUGAUGAUGUCCUGUACUUCGUGGCUGCAGGCUUCUCAAGCCCCAGGUCUGUGCAGGGACAAGCAAAGCAGCAGAAUAUCCGUGCCACAUCUUUCUGGAGCACCUAUUUUACUACCAGAUUUGGAAGGAACGCAGUUAAGUAAUUUCCAAGAAUCAUCUCCUCUGCCCCACAAACAGGAAAGACAAGAGAAGCACCCCAGAAGAGGAAGGGAGAAGUGCCCCAGAAAAAAUCAUCCAGUCUCUGAAGCUUUGCCCAGGUGGGCACAGGCCAGCCAGCCUCUCCUCUAGUUGCCCAGCUGGUUGCAGGCAGUCAUUUAACCUUCCGCCUGGCAUGCUUUUGAGUGUGCAGAAGUGCUGCAUGCCCUCUUCUUUGAAAACCUGUUGAGCAAAUGCCUCUGCA